AUUGAACGCUGGCGGCAUGCUUUACACAUGCAAGUCGAACGGCAGCACGGGCUUCGGCCUGGUGGCGAGUGGCGAACGGGUGAGUAAUAUAUCGGAACGUACCCAGAAGUGGGGGAUAACGUAGCGAAAGUUACGCUAAUACUGCAUACGAUCUAUGGAUGAAAGCAGGGGACCGCAAGGCCUUGUGCUCCUGGAGCGGCCGAUAUCUGAUUAGCUAGUUGGUGAGGUAAAGGCUCACCAAGGCGACGAUCAGUAGCUGGUCUGAGAGGACGACCAGCCACACUGGAACUGAGACACGGUCCAGACUCCUACGGGAGGCAGCAGUGGGGAAUUUUGGACAAUGGGCGCAAGCCUGAUCCAGCAAUGCCGCGUGAGUGAAGAAGGCCUUCGGGUUGUAAAGCUCUUUUGUCAGGGAAGAAACGGUAGAGGCUAAUAUCCUUUGCUAAUGACGGUACCUGAAGAAUAAGCACCGGCUAACUACGUG
rnacentral:rRNA from 1 species